GGGACAUUAUUUUAUAGUGCUUGCUUGAUUAGCUAAUGACUUGUUAUUACCCAUGUGACCCUAAUUCAUGGGAUCUCCAAUCACACAAGUUAGGUUAUCAUCAUUGUUAAUCUUCUCAAAUUGACUAAAGUGUCACUCUCCUCAAUGUUUCUUAUAGCGGCCUCAAGAGUGGUUUAGCUUGACAUUCUCUGGAAUCCCCCAGUAGAGCAGCAAGCCAUCAGUCGAGCCUACAGGAACGAUAAAAAAAAUUUGUACACGUUUACUGUCCAGUGACAACGAAAUGGGAGGUUGACAAGAUUGAACAGCAGGCGAGAAAAAGAUAUCAUUCAUAUGUACUUUUGUCCAGGAAUAAAGUGAAUACUUCAUGUUCUGUGUCGGAGGAUGAUAUACUUGAAUCCAUGACAAGAGGGUCUCCAUCAUAUUUUUGAAAAACUAUCUCAUGAAACACGGAUGGUGCCUACUACAUGCUUUAAUGCUUACAACCAUCAUUCAAGAUGAAGCAGUUAGAUUGUUGGCCAAAACGCAGGGAUUCGUAGAGGACUCGAAGGUUUUAACAGCUGGACAAGAUUUUUACGGAGAAACUAGAGUUGGCAGUGGAGAUGAAGAAUAUAAUUCAAUAGGAAAGGUUCAGUAUAUUCAAUUGACGAUUGAAUCUAUAAUAAUACAAUGUCUUUUAUACAAAUUUGAUGUUCAGUUU